AUUGAACGCCGGCGGAAUGCUUUACACAUGCAAGUCGAACGGCAGCACGGACUUCGGUCUGGUGGCGAGUGGCGAACGGGUGAGUAAUGUAUCGGAACGUGCCCAGUCGUGGGGGAUAACGUAGUGAAAAUUACGCUAAUACUGCAUACGAUCUAUGGAUGAAAGCGGGGGAUCGCAAGACCUCGCGCGAUUGGAGCGGCCGAUAUCAGAUUAGGUAGUUGGUGGGGUAAAGGCCCACCAAGCCAACGAUCUGUAGCUGGUCUGAGAGGACGACCAGCCACACUGGAACUGAGACACGGUCCAGACUCCUACGGGAGGCAGCAGUGGGGAAUUUUGGACAAUGGGCGAAAGCCUGAUCCAGCCAUUCCGCGUGCAGGAUGAAGGCCCUCGGGUUGUAAACUGCUUUUGUACAGAACGAAAAGGUUUCUACUAAUACUAGGAGCUCAUGACGGUACUGUAAGAAUAAGCACCGGCUAACUACGUGCCAGCCGCCGCGGUAA
rnacentral:rRNA from 1 species